GACGAACGCUGGCGGCGUGCCUAAUACAUGCAAGUCGAACGCAGUGGGGACGGGUGAGUAACACGUGGGUAACCUCCCAUCAGAGGGGAUAACACUUGGAAACAGGUGCUAAACCGAUACUGAUGGAUGGACUCGCGGUGCAUUAGCUAGUCGGUGGGGUAACGGCUCACCAAGGCCACGAUGCAUAGCCGGCCGGGGAGGGUGAGCGGCCACACUGGGACUGAGACACGGCCCAGACUCCUACGGGAGGCAGCAGUGGGGAAUCUUCGGCAAUGGGCGAAAGUCUGACCGAGCAACGCCGCGUGAGUGAAGAAGGUUUUCGGAUCGUAAAACUCUGUUGUUAGAGAAGCGGUAUCUAACCAGAAAGCCACGGCUAACUACGUGCCAGCAGCCGCGGUAAUAC
rnacentral:rRNA from 1 species